rnacentral:miRNA from 1 species
GUAGCCCGGGCGGUGCUUCCCC